GUCUGCAACCCGACUACAUGAAGCUGGAAUCGCUAGUAAUCGCGAAUCAGAAUGUCGCGGUGAAUACGUUCCCGGGUCUUGUACACACCGCCCGUCACACCAUGGGAGUCGGAAAUGCCCGAAGUCAGUGACCCAACCGUAAGGAGGGAGCUGCCGAAGGUGGAGCCGGUAACUGGGGUGAAGUCGUAACAAGGUACC
rnacentral:rRNA from 1 species